GAUCAUGGCUCAGGAGUGAACGCUGGCGGCAUGCCUAAUACAUGCAAGUCGAACGGGAGUGCUUGCACUCCAGUGGCGAACGGGUGAGUAAUACAUAGGUAACCUGUCCUUAAGACGAGGAUAGCUUCUAGAAAUGGAAGAUAAAAACUGGAUAGGACAUCACAAAUCACAUGAUUAGAUGUUUAAAAGAGCAAUCUACUUAAGGAGGGGCCUGUGGCGCAUUAGCCAGAUGGCGGGGUAAUGGCCCACCAUAGCGAUGAUGCGUAGCCGGUCUGAGAGGACGAACGGCCACAUUGGGACUGAGACACGGCCCAGACUCCUACGGGAGGCAGCAGUAGGGAAUUUUCGGCAAUGGGCGGAAGCCUGAACCCGAGCAAUGCCGCGUGAAUGAAGAAGUAUUUCGGUAUGUAAAGUUCCUUUAUUUGGGACGAAAAAACAAAUUGACGGUACCAAAUGAAUAAGCCCCGGCUAACUAUGUGCCAGCAGCCGC
rnacentral:rRNA from 1 species